GCCCUAAUGGCUUAGUGGUUAUAGCGUCCCACUCGUAAUGGGAAGGUCCUCGGUUCAACUCCGAGUUGGGGCA
rfam:Lobosporangium transversale strain NRRL 3116 BCR41scaffold_3, whole genome shotgun sequence.